AAUCAACGCUGGCGGCGUGCCUAACACAUGCAAGUCGAGCGAGAAAAGGGGAGCAAUCCCCUGAGUAAAGCGGCGCACGGGUGAGUAACACGUGGGUAAUCUGCCCUGGAGUGGGGAAUAACACCGGGAAACCGGUGCUAAUACCGCAUACGAUCGCGAUGUCUGCGGACGUUGUGAUGAAAGGAGCAAUUCGCUCCAGGAGGAGCCCGCGGCUGAUUAGCUAGUUGGUGAGGUAAUGGCUCACCAAGGCAACGAUCAGUAUCCGGUCUGCGAGGACGGUCGGACACACUGGAACUGAGACACGGCCCAGACUCCUACGGGAGGCAGCAGUGGGGAAUAUUGGACAAUGGGGGGAACCCUGAUCCAGCCAUGCCGCGUGUGUGAAGAAGGCCUUAUGGUUGUAAAGCACUUUAAGCGAGGAGGAGGCUCUUUUGGUUAAUACCCAAGAUGAGUGGACGUUACUCGCAGAAUAAGCACCGGCUAACUCUGUGCCAG
rnacentral:rRNA from 1 species